UUUGAUUGUUCACAGUCUAUACAGCCAUAAAGAAGUGCUCUUGACAGAGCUUGUAAGUAAUGCGAGUGAUGAUUUAGAUAAGCUUAGAUUCUUGGGUGUGACUGAGCCCUCUCUGCUCGUAGAUUCUGGAGAACUAGAGAUUCGCAUCAAACCUGAUCCAGAUAAUGGGACUGUCACUAUAACAGAUACGGGUAUUGGAAUGA